rnacentral:rRNA from 1 species
UGAGGGCACCUGCAUCCAGCUAUGCCGCGUGAGUGAAGAAGGCCUUCGGGUUGUAAAGUCUUUUGUCAGGGAAGAAACACCGGCUCUAACACAGUCCGGGAAUGACGGUACCUGAAGAAUAAGCACCGGCUAACUACGUGCCAGCAGCCGCGGUAAUACGUAGGGUGCGAGCGUUAAUCGGAAUUACUGGGCGUAAAGCGUGCGCAGGCGGUUAUACAAGACAGGCGUGAAAUCCCCGGGCUUAACCUGGGAAUGGCGCCUGUGACUGUAUAGCUAGAGUGUGUCAGAGGGGGGUAGAAUUCCACGUGUAGCAGUGAAAUGCGUAGAUAUGUGGAGGAAUACCAAUGGCGAAGGCUGNCCCCUGGGAUAACACUGACGCUCAUGCACGAAAGCGUGGGGAGCAAACAGGAUUA